UAUGUUGCAUGUAGUCUCCGUUCGCUCGUCCGGUGUUCGUCCUCUGUCCACAUGUAGGGCUUACUGCUGGGCGAAACCGACCCUUUACCAGGUCGGGGCCAGAUGCUCACCCAGACCCCAGGAGUAAGUGAGGCAAAUGGCGUUUAUUCACUACUAAACACAGCUUAUAUACAUUUUUACCUAGAUAACCGUGCUGUCAUGUCCCACUCUGAUUAGUUCACACCAGAUAACAUUGUGCCUUAUUUGGCCAUUUCCACAUUCUUUUAUCAUCCUUCUUCUUCUCCUGUUUUCUCUGCAACAAGGUCAGCACGAUAGCACUAUCUCUCUAUGUUUAGGGAGAGGCCUGUCCCGUACAUCCCGUGCCCCCGCAAGACGCCUACUACAACAUCUCCCCCUCCCUAAGCUAGAUACUACUUACACACACACCUAACCCGUACAUCGCGAAGCAGCGCAAAACGCCUAAUCCUAAAUAUAUUUCAGCACACUAUUCCUACUAUUUUCUACUACAGUUCUUAAGCAAUCAUCAGAGCAACAGGGAAUUCUUUCCCGUGCUCGGCCAAGCCUUGCCCCGUUACAGCACGAACGCAACAACCUAAACCCCUCUAUAAUUUUUCACGCAAUCUAUGAUACUCAAUGUGAUAGUCAAAAGUCUUGUCCAUCAUUCGUUGAAGGCAGUUCUGCAAGCAUCCUACAAAGCAUGGAAGACAGAUUAGAAUACACACAAAGAUUGCAAAUCCUACUGCGAGAGCUUUAAGCAAUUGCUUUAACCAUGAACCCGUUCCCCCAAACAGUCCGUCCAGCCAGCUUCCAAAGGGAUCACGCUCUUCUUUAAUUUUCUGCAUAUGUUCUUGUGUCCAUUGUAGUUGUUUGUGACACUCUGUAAUCGCCAUGGACACCAUAAAUAUCAGCAACAUCGGAAGUGUCAGCGUUGCAGGUGUAGUGCUCCUCUUGACGAGUGGUUCUUGAUCCCAUCGUCUGUCCCUCAGUUGUUCUGGAGUUGGCUUCGGUCUGCCAACGAAGAAUUUCUGUAGAAAACUCGCACCUAGACUCAGUUUUUGCAGAUAUGCUACUUAUAUCUGGUAUUACUUUUCGCGAUGGUACCCACAGAAUUUCCCAGAUUCAUGAUGUUUAACUGCUGCAUACCCGACCACGGAUACCCUUCAGCAAGCCCUUCCUGUGAUCAGGAGGCCCUGACUGGCCUCCCCCACAGGGGCAUUGUGCUCUAACAUGGCCAUACUGGCCGUAUCGGAAACACAGCCCUUGCUGCUGCAGCGAUCUUUGCUGUCGCAGGCCAGCAGCUACGACAAUAGCUGUGACUAGCCUUUCAUUAGUUAAAUGAGCCACCUUGAGCUUAUCUAAGACAUACUGAAUAACUUCUCCCGAGGUAUUAAGCGUACUUCGGCCGGCUCGCAGCAAUGCCUUAACAUUGUCAUGCGAUUUCUGCUGCAAGCAGUCAAUGAUCACUGGCCCUUGGGCCGGUUCCAGGAGAUCAGACCCCUCUGCAGCAGCUAAAAGCCUGUCUGUAAAGCUUUGAAAGGAUUCAUUCGGGCCCUGGGUAAUAUCUGUGCACGGAGUAGGUGGUUCGGUCUUAUGCACAAGUUUAUUAAACGCUUCCACCAUUGCAUCUGUGGCUGCUAUUAGCUCCCCUGGCCUUAGUCUCGCUAGCUGGCCCUGGGGCGAAGCCACUCCCA
ensembl:lncRNA